GGAAGCUGAAGUCCAGAGGCUCUAUUCAGUCAAGGGGUGAUGAACUCUCUUUGGGUCUGGAGACAGGCUGGAACUGGGAUGAGAUAUGGAGACCCUGCCAUUUACGACAACGUGGAUGUAUCUGCAGGACAUUAAGACAAGUGCAAUAAGCAAGACACGGAAAGAAAAUAUAGCAUGGUCUCUCUUAUAUGUGGAAUUUUAAAAAUUAACUCUGAAUACUUUGGAUUAAACUGAUGCAGCAGUCAUCCAAGAGAUGUCCACAUAUGUACUCCUGUUAAUGUUAGUUCCUUUCAUCCAAGCCAUCAGAGGUUCUCCCUGGAUCUCAUUUUUGGGAGUAGCUGACUUUUUCAUUCUCUGCUGGAGCGUUUGGGCUGAUUCAUCACCCCCUCCCCCACCACCAUUCACUGAAUGUAGCCACUGGUCGUGGCUGCCUUUUCUGCUAUUUUAUAGAACCAAGCCUGAAUCUAUAAAGCGCUUCCCUUGGUACCUCCCAGAAACUUUUUAUUGCCUGUCUCUUUCUGUCAACUCAGUUGCAGAAAAAUACAUUUUAUGGCUCCAGUAAUUUAAGAAAGCUCUGAAAAAUCAAAUCUGUCCAUGGCAGUGCUAGCAUACUGUCUAUUAGAUUAAAUGAAGCUGUAAGCAUCUUUGAAGUACAAAUGAUACUUGGAAAGUAAAUGAAACUGGGAAUACUUGCAAGUAAAAUAUGGGAAGUCAAAGAGAUUAAAGGAUGAGAACCAGAAAUUGCUUAUGGCCAGUGUCCUGAGUAAGCCUCAGAAUCGCAUCCUAGAAGCAUCAAGUUCUUGUGUUACCCUAUGGAUCUAAAAAACGACUUCCUUAGUUUGAUGUAGUCUGCAGACAUCUCAUCAUCACAAAAACUUGAAAGCACUUACAGCACUAAGAAACUACCUUUGCAGAUUGUAAAAAAAGAUAGAAUCCUACUUAGUGUUUUGAUCACACCUGCCUAUUUCCCCAAGGUUUUACUGCAGGGUUAAAGAAUGAAUAAGCAUCUAGUUAUAUUUAAUAAACUCCAUGCCUUAUGGCUGAUUCUAAAGGCA
rnacentral:lncRNA from 1 species